CCCUUAGAUGUUCUGGGCCGCACGCGUGCUACACUGAGUGGAUCAGCGGGUCAGGUUGCGCGAAAGUGUUUCCUAAUCUUUAAAUCCGCUCGUGAUGGGGAUUGAAGGUUGCAAUUUUCCGUCAUGAACGAGGAAUACCUUGUAAGCGCGGGUCAUCAUCCCGCGCUGAAUACGUCCCUGCCCUUUGUACACACCGCCCGUCGCUCCUACCGAUUGAGUGGUCCGGUGAGGCUUUGGGAUCUGAGCGGAAAGAGCGUUUCGCUGUUUCUGCCCGGAAAACUCAGUCGAACCUUAUCAUUUAGAGGAAGGAGAAGUCGUAACA
rnacentral:rRNA from 1 species